rnacentral:rRNA from 1 species
UACGAAGGGGGCUAGCGUUGCUCGGAAUCACUGGGCGUAAAGGGUGCGUAGGCGGGUCUUUAAGUCAGGGGUGAAAUCCUGGAGCUCAACUCCAGAACUGCCUUUGAUACUGAGGAUCUUGAGUACGGGAGAGGUGAGUGGAACUGCGAGUGUAGAGGUGAAAUUCGUAGAUAUCGGGAGGAACACCGGUGGCGAAGGCGGCGACCUGGGUAGAUACUGACGCUGAGGUGCGAAAGCGUGGGGAGCAAACAGG